GGGGGUGUGCAGACGGGUGAGUACGCGUGGAACGUGCCUUUCACUACGGAAUAGCUUUUGGAAACGAAAGGUAAUACCGUAUACGCCCUCCGGGGGAAAGAUUUAUCGGUGAAAGAUCGGUCCGCGUUAGAUUAGCUAGUUGGUGAGGUAACGGCUCACCAAGGCUACGAUCUAUAGCUGGUCUGAGAGGAUGAUCAGCCACACUGGGACUGAGACACGGCCCAGACUCCUACGGGAGGCAGCAGUGGGGAAUAUUGCACAAUGGGCGCAAGCCUGAUGCAGCCAUGCCGCGUGAAUGAUGAAGGCCUUAGGGUUGUAAAAUUCUUUCGCCAAGGAUGAUAAUGACAGUACUUGGUAAAGAAGCCCCGGCUAACUUCGUGCCAGCAGCCGCGGUAAUACGAAGGGGGCUAGCGUUGUUCGGAAUUACUGGGCGUAAAGCGCACGUAGGCGGACUUUUAAGUCAGAUGUGAAAUCCCGAGGCUCAACCUCGGAACUGCAUUUGAAACUGGGAGUCUAGAGAUCAGGAGAGGUUAGCGGAAUACCGAGUGUAGAGGUGAAAUUCGUAGAUAUUCGGUGGAACACCAGUGGCGAAGGCGGCUAACUGGACUGAUACUGACGCUGAGGUGCGAAAGUGUGGGGAGCAAACAGGA
rnacentral:rRNA from 1 species